rnacentral:rRNA from 1 species
CUGGCGGCGUGCCUAAUACAUGCAAGUCGAGCGCGGGAAGCGGACAAUCACCCUUCGGGGUGUGCGUCCGUGGAACGAGCGGCGGAUGGGUGAGUAUCACGUGGGCAACCUGCCUGUAAGAUUGGGAUAACUCGCGGAAACGUGAGCUAAUACCGAAUGAAGUCUUUCGCCGCCUGGUGAAAGGAUGAAAGAUGGCUCUUGAGCUAUCACUUACAGAUGGGCCCGCGGCGCAUUAGCUAGUUGGUGGGGUAAAGGCCUACCAAGGCGACGAUGCGUAGCCGACCUGAGAGGGUGAUCGGCCACACUGGGACUGAGACACGGCCCAGACUCCUACGGGAGGCAGCAGUAGGGAAUCUUCCGCAAUGGACGAAAGUCUGACGGAGCAACGCCGCGUGAGUGAAUGAAGGUCUUCGGAUCGUAAAACUCUGUUGUCAGGGAAGAACAAGUUGUGUUCUAACAGGACAUGACCUUGACGGUACCUGACCAGAAAGCCACGGCUAACUACGUGCCAGCCGCCGC